GGCGGGGUAGAGAAGUGGCAAUCUCGCUGGGCCCAUAACCCGGAAGUCGCAGGUUCGAAUCCUGCCCCCGCUA
rnacentral:tRNA from 1 species